GGUCUGAUGGUGUAGUGGUUACGCAUCCUGUUCAUGUGGACAAAACUAAUAGCUGCUUGUAGGAAGUCCCUUGUUCGAAUCAAGGUCAGGCCG